rnacentral:rRNA from 1 species
AGGUAAGCUACUAAGAGCGAAUGGUGGAUGCCUUGACUGGUAAAGGCGAUGAAGGACGUACUAGACUGCGAUAAGCUACGGGGAGCUGUCAAGAAGCUUUGAUCCGUAGAUUUCCGAAUGGGGCAACCCAAUGUAUAGAGAUAUACAUUACCUAUAUAGGAGCGAACGAGGGGAAUUGAAACAUCUUAGUACCCUCAGGAAAAGAAAUCAAUAGAGAUUGCGUCAGUAGCGGCGAGCGAAAGCGCAAGAGGGCAAACCCAGUGCUUGCACUGGGGGUUGUAGGACUGCAAUGUGCAAGAGCUGAGUUUAGCAGAACAUUCUGGAAAGUAUAACCAUAGAGGGUGAUAGUCCCGUAUGCGAAAAACAAACCUUAGCUAGCAGUAUCCUGAGUAGGGCGGGACACGAGGAAUCCUGUCUGAAUCCGGGUCGACCACGAUCCAACCCUAAAUACUAAUACCAGAUCGAUAGUGCACAAGUACCGUGAGGGAAAGGUGAAAAGAACUGAGGUGAUCAGAGUGAAAUAGAACCUGAAACCAUUUGCUUACAAUCAUUCAGAGCACUAUGUAGCAAUACAGUGUGAUGGACUGCCUUUUGCAUAAUGAGCCUGCGAGUUGUGGUGUCUGGCAAGGUUAAGCAAACGCGAAGCCGUAGCGAAAGCGAGUCUGAAUAGGGCGCUUAGUCAGAUGCUGCAGACCCGAAACGAAGUGAUCUAUCCAUGAGCAAGUUGAAGCUAGUGUAAGAACUAGUGGAGGACUGAACCCAUAGGCGUUGAAAAGCCCCGGGAUGACUUGUGGAUAGGGGUGAAAGGCCAAUCAAACUUCGUGAUAGCUGGUUCUCUCCGAAAUAUAUUUAGGUAUAGCGUUGUGUCGUAAUAUAAGGGGGUAGAGCACUGAAUGGGCUAGGGCAUACACCAAUGUACCAAACCCUAUCAAACUCCGAAUACCUUAUAUGUAAUCACAGCAGUCAGGCGGCGAGUGAUAAAAUCCGUCGUCAAGAGGGAAACAACCCAGACUACCAGCUAAGGUCCCUAAAUCUUACUUAAGUGGAAAACGAUGUGAAGUUACUUAAACAACCAGGAGGUUGGCUUAGAAGCAGCCAUCCUUUAAAGAAAGCGUAAUAGCUCACUGGUCUAGUGAUUUUGCGCGGAAAAUAUAACGGGGCUAAAGU